GACCGCGUAGCUCAGUUGGAAGAGCAUUGGGCUAGUAUUCCAAAGGUCGUAGGUUCGCAUCCUACCGUGGCCG